UUGGAGGGCAAGUCUGGUGCCAGCAGCCGCUGUAAUUCCAGCUCCAAUAGCGUAUAUUUAAGUUGUUGCAGUUAAAAAGCUCGUAGUUGGACUUCAGACCUGGCUGGGCGGUCCGCUUAACGGCGUGUACUGUCUGGCUGGGUCUUACCUCUUGGUGAGCCGGCGUGNCCUUUAUUGGUGUGCGUCGGGGAACCAGGACUUUUACCUUGAGAAAAUUAGAGUGUUCAAAGCAGGCCUAUGCCUGAAUACAUUAGCAUGGAAUAAUAAAAUAGGACGUGCGGUUCUAUUUUGUUGGCUUCUAGAGUCGCCGUAAUGAUUAAUAGGGAUAGUUGGGGGCAUUGGUAUUGUGUCGCUAGAGGUGAAAUUCUUGGAUUGACACAAGACCAACUACUGCGAAAGCAUUUGCCAAGGAUGUUUUCAUUAAUCAAGAACGAAGGUUAGGGGAUCGAAAACGAUCAGAUACCGUUGUAGUCUUAACAGUAAACUAUGCCGACUAGGGAUCGGACGACCUCAAUUUUGAUGCGUCGUUCGGCGCCUUACGGGAAAC
rnacentral:rRNA from 1 species